CCAGUCAGCUUGUGGGAAGAUAAAACCUUUCUUUAUUUUUAGUUCUGUCCAUUUAAAUCCAACGUGCAGUGCUAGAUGUUGGAAUCAACGUGGAUUCUUUCUGCUCGGAAGCCUCUGGGAAGAGAUGUCUCACCCCAGUGCUCAAAGGCUGCUUCUAAUUCUGUUGUUUUUUUAAUGUUAUUUCUUUAAGUGAUACCUAUGGAACGUGUUAGCCACCGAUUUGGGAAAUCUCCCUUGUAUCUCAGUCUUCUGUUUCUCUUGUUUCCUCCCCUGGCCUCAAAGCAGCAGCACAGCUGUGCCAGGAUACCCAGGACUGCUUUUCUGCGCCUCGUCCUUUCAGCCCCAUUGGAUGCUCAGCAGGAGCCGCUCAGUUCACACACGCAGUGCGUUCUGCCUUCCAAGAGCUUUCCAUCAGGCGAGAGGCUCUCUUCUUUUUGCCUGUUUCAAAUGUACCGUUCCACGUGUCCUACAAGAAGUCUUCACGCACCUCUCCAGUUUAGGAGAAUGAGCAAUGCCUCCACUGGGGACUUCCCUGGCAGAUCCACGUCUGAACAGCCAGGGCUGGCUUCCAAGAACAUUAAAUUCCAGCUGCUUUUCCAUCCAAGGCAAGAUAGGUUAUGCAUAUUUGGUGCCUGGCUUAACGCUGCAAGGGACAUAAUUUUCAGUGGUAUAAUGGACCGCUUGAGCCUCUCUUGUCAACUGGGAGUUUGAGUAUGCAGCGCGUUUGGAAAUGCAGCCCAUCCUUACCCAGCAACUGGCAAGGGAGAAAUCCAGACCUGCCAGUCGCUAUUUCAGCCUGUGACUUCUGCUCGCCUUUGUCCCAUCCAAGCGCGGUAAGGCAGAGCUUGUGUGCUCUUCUGGAGUUGGCUCCGCGUCUGCAGCUGCACGUUGAAAGAGUCUAUGAGAUCAUUCAAGUACGGAGACUUGGCAGCCUCCAUGUACGUACAAAGACGGCUGUUUGAAUUUCAGACUAAGUGUCGUUCUGGCUAAGGAUGAAUUAUUUGGUGUGUUACAUGAGGAUUUGCUGCUUUAUCUGGCCUGAAUAAGAGCUCCACCAGUGCAGACCUCCCUCACGAAAGCCACGGUGAUGUCACGUCCAGCAGCACAGGAGGGGAUCAGAGCGUGCUCCUACCCAUUCAGCACAGCCCCGAGAUUACUUUUAACCAAGGUCACUUCUGCAGUUCACUUGACAACAGCCUGGGCAGCGGCACACUACUGGCACAGCCUGCGGACUGCUAUAGGGAUGGGAGGACAAACAGUGACAAUUGUCUCCCGGAUUUACUGCGUCGAAGCUGUGCCGCGGCUGCCUUCUGAUCAGAAGUGGGUAGAUAAAUCUGCUCCGUGUUCUGCAGUGACUGCCUGCUGCCCUGAAGGAAGCGUGUCAUGUCUGCAAGGAAGCGUUUCAACCUGCAGCCGUGGAGUACGAACAGCAUCAAUCACUCCUUUCCAACAAAGGUUGGGUUGUGCUGAGCCCUAAUCUUUUAAAUAAGACCUACUGUAACAUGCACAGAAUGUUUCCCAUGUUGGAUUCUACCUUACAAGCACUGAUUACGCCCACUGAUGCUUCAUGAGACAACCAAGCCAGACUUGUGCCUCGAUUUGAAAAUACUCUGACACAAUAAAAGAAGACUUC
rnacentral:lncRNA from 7 species